rnacentral:rRNA from 1 species
UACGAAGGGGGCUAGCGUUGCUCGGAAUCACUGGGCGUAAAGCGCACGUAGGCGGAUUGUUAAGUCAGGGGUGAAAUCCUGGAGCUCAACUCCAGAACUGCCUUUGAUACUGGCGAUCUUGAGUCCGGGAGAGGUUAGUGGAACUGCGAGUGUAGAGGUGAAAUUCGUAGAUAUUCGCAAGAACACCAGUGGCGAAGGCGGCUCACUGGCCCGGUACUGACGCUGAGGUGCGAAAGCGUGGGGAGCAAACAGG